rfam:Felis catus isolate Cinnamon breed Abyssinian chromosome B1, whole genome shotgun sequence.
GCCUGGGUGGCUCAGUCGGUUGAGCGUCCGACUUCAGCUCAGGUCACGAUCUCGCAGUCCGUGAGUUCGAGCCCCGCGUCAGGCU